UAUCAAUAUACAUAUAUAAAUCAUAUAUAUAUAAACUAUAUCAAAUGUUUACUUAAUGUUGGGUUUGUGUUGCUUCUUGUUGUCCCUCUCUCUCUCUCUCUCUCUCUCUCUCUCUCAGCUAAAUUGCUGUCUUAAGCGCUAGUGAUUGUUGUUGUUGUUGUUGUUAUUAAAUGAAUUUGUGUGUGUGUGUGUUGUUGUUGUUCUUGUUGACUUUAUACAUUUCUCUUUUACAUUUAUGACUAUUGAAAACAAAUAUUUGUAUAGAUAA